rnacentral:rRNA from 1 species
GCAAGUCGAGCGGACAGAAGGGAGCUUGCUCCCGGAUGUUAGCGGCGGACGGGUGAGUAACACGUGGGUAACCUGCCUGUAAGACUGGGAUAACUCCGGGAAACCGGAGCUAAUACCGGAUAGUUCCUUGAACCGCAUGGUUCAAGGAUGAAAGACGGUUUCGGCUGUCACUUACAGAUGGACCCGCGGCGCAUUAGCUAGUUGGUGAGGUAACGGCUCACCAAGGCGACGAUGCGUAGCCGACCUGAGAGGGUGAUCGGCCACACUGGGACUGAGACACGGCCCAGACUCCUACGGGAGGCAGCAGUAGGGAAUCUUCCGCAAUGGACGAAAGUCUGACGGAGCAACGCCGCGUGAGUGAUGAAGGUUUUCGGAUCGUAAAGCUCUGUUGUUAGGGAAGAACAAGUGCAAGAGUAACUGCUUGCACCUUGACGGUACCUAACCAGAAAGCCACGGCUAACUACGUGCCAGCAGCCGCGGUAAUACGUAGGUGGCAAGCGUUGUCCGGAAUUAUUGGGCGUAAAGGGCUCGCAGGCGGUUUCUUAAGUCUGAUGUGAAAGCCCCCGGCUCAACCGGGGAGGGUCAUUGGAAACUGGGAAACUUGAGUGCAAAAGAGGAGAGUGGAAUUCCACGUGUACCGGUGAAAUGCGUAGAGAUGUGGAGGAACACCAGUGGCGAAGGCGACUCUCUGGUCUGUAACUGACGCUGAGGAGCGAAAGCGUGGGGAGCGAACAGGAUUAGAUACCCUGGUAGUCCACGCCGUAAACGAUGAGUGCUAAGUGUUAGGGGGUUUCCGCCCCUUAGUGCUGCAGCUAACGCAUUAAGCACUCCGCCUGGGGAGUACGGU